GAUGAACGCUGGCGGCGUGCCUAACACAUGCAAGUCGAGCGAUUCUCUUCGGAGAAGAGCGGCGGACGGGUGAGUAACGCGUGGGUAACCUGCCCUGUACACACGGAUAACAUACCGAAAGGUAUGCUAAUACGGGAUAACAUAAGAAAUUCGCAUGUUUUUCUUAUCAAAGCUCCGGCGGUACAGGAUGGACCCGCGUCUGAUUAGCUAGUUGGUGAGGUAAUGGCUCACCAAGGCGACGAUCAGUAGCCGACCUGAGAGGGUGAUCGGCCACAUUGGAACUGAGACACGGUCCAAACUCCUACGGGAGGCAGCAGUGGGGAAUAUUGCACAAUGGGCGAAAGCCUGAUGCAGCAACGCCGCGUGGGCGAUGAAGGCCUUCGGGUCGUAAAGCUCUGUCCUCAAGGAAGAUAAUGACGGUACUUGAGGAGGAAGCCCCGGCUAACUACGUGCCAGCAGCCGCCGCCG
rnacentral:rRNA from 1 species